rnacentral:tRNA from 1 species
GGGCGUGUAGCUCAGUGGUAGAGCGCCCGCUUUGCAUGCGGGAGGUCCAGGUUUCAAUCACCUGCCCGUCCA